UACGUACGAGGCGAGCGUUAUCCGGAAUUACUGGGCGUAAAGCGUGCGUAGGCGGUUUGUUAAGUCCGCUGUGAAAGCCCUGGGCUCAACCUGGGAAUUGCAGUGGAUACUGGCAAGCUAGAGUGCGGUAGAGGAUGGUGGAAUUCCCGGUGUAGCGGUGAAAUGCGUAGAGAUCGGGAGGAACACCCGUGGCGAAGGCGGCCAUCUGGGACAACACUGACGCUGAGGCACGAAAGCGUGGGGAGCAAACAGG
rnacentral:rRNA from 1 species